rnacentral:rRNA from 1 species
AUUGAACGCUGGCGGCAGGCCUAUCACAUGCAAGUCGAGCGGAUGAAGAGAGCUUGCUCUCUGAUUCAGCGGCGGACGGGUGAGUAAUGCCUAGGAAUCUGCCUGGUAGUGGGGGACAGCGUUUCGAAAGGAACGCUAAUACCGCAUACGUCCUACGGGAGAAAGCAGGGGACCUUCGGGCCUUGCGCUCUCAGAUGAGCCUAGGUCGGAUUAGCUAGUAGGUGAGGUAAAGGCUCACCUAGGCGACGAUCCGUAACUGGUCUGAGAGGAUGAUCAGUCACACUGGAACUGAGACACGGUCCAGACUCCUACGGGAGGCAGCAGUGGGGAAUAUUGGACAAUGGGCGAAAGCCUGAUCCAGCCAUGCCGCGUGUGUGAAGAAGGUCUUCGGAUUGUAAAGCACUUUAAGUUGGGAGGAAGGGCAGUAAGUUAAUACCUUGCUGUUUUGACGUUACCAACAGAAUAAGCACCGGCUAACUUCGUGCCAGCCGCCGCAGUAACAC